UGGGGAAUAUUGCACAAUGGGGGAAACCCUGAUGCAGCAACGCCGCGUGCGGGAUGACGGCCUUCGGGUUGUAAACCGCUUUCAGCCAUGACGAAGCUUUUGUGACGGUAGUGGCAGAAGAAGCACCGGCUAACUACGUGCCAGCAGCCGCGGUGAUACGUAGGGUGCGAGCGUUGUCCGGAAUUAUUGGGCGUAAAGAGCUUGUAGGCGGUUUGUCGCGUCGAAAGUGUAAACUCAGUGCUUAACGCUGAGCCUGCUUUCGAUACGGGCUGACUAGAGGAAGGUAGGGGAGAAUGGAAUUCCCGGUGGAGAGGUGGAAUGCGCAGAUAUCGGGAGGAACACCAGUGGCGAAGGCGGUUCUCUGGACCUUUCCUGACGCUGAGAAGCGAAAGCGUGGGUAGCAAACAGG
rnacentral:rRNA from 1 species